rnacentral:rRNA from 1 species
AUUGAACGCUGGCGGCAUGCUUUACACAUGCAAGUCGAACGGUAACAGGCCGCAAGGCGCUGACGAGUGGCGAACGGGUGAGUAAUGCAUCGGAACGUGCCCAGUCGUGGGGGAUAACUACUCGAAAGAGUAGCUAAUACCGCAUACGAUCUAUGGAUGAAAGCGGGGGCCCUAAAGGCCCCCCCCGAUUGGGGCGGCCGUUGUCAGAUUAGGUAGUUGGUGGGGUAAAGGCUCACCAAGCCAACGAUCUGUAGCUGGUCUGAGAGGACGACCAGCCACACUGGGACUGAGACACGGCCCAGACUCCUACGGGAGGCAGCAGUGGGGAAUUUUGGACAAUGGGCGCAAGCCUGAUCCAGCAAUGCCGCGUGCAGGAAGAAGGCCUUCGGGUUGUAAACUGCUUUUGUACGGAACGAAACGGCUCUGGUUAAUACCCGGGGCUAAUGACGGUACCGUAAGAAUAAGCACCGGCUAACUACGUG